GUCGAGCGAACAGAUAAGGAGCUUGCUCCUUUGACGUUAGCGGCGGACGGGUGAGUAACACGUGGAUAACCUACCUAUAAGACUGGGAUAACUUCGGGAAACCGGAGCUAAUACCGGAUAACAUAUUGAACCGCAUGGUUCAAUAGUGAAAGGCGGCUUUGCUGUCACUUAUAGAUGGAUCCGCGCCGUAUUAGCUAGUUGGUAAGGUAACGGCUUACCAAGGCAACGAUACGUAGCCGACCUGAGAGGGUGAUCGGCCACACUGGAACUGAGACACGGUCCAGACUCCUACGGGAGGCAGCAGUAGGGAAUCUUCCGCAAUGGGCGAAAGCCUGACGGAGCAACGCCGCGUGAGUGAUGAAGGUCUUCGGAUCGUAAAACUCUGUUAUCAGGGAAGAACAAAUGUGUAAGUAACUGUGCACAUCUUGACGGUACCUGAUCAGAAAGCCACGGCUAACUACGUGCCAGCAGCCGCGGUAAUACGUAGGUGGCAAGCGUUAUCCGGAAUUAUUGGGCGUAAAGCGCGCGUAGGCGGUUUUUUAAGUCUGAUGUGAAAGCCCACGGCUCAACCGUGGAGGGUCAUUGGAAACUGGAAAACUUGAGUGCAGAAGAGGAAAGUGGAAUUCCAUGUGUAGCGGUGAAAUGCGCAGAGAUAUGGAGGAACACCAGUGGCGAAGGCGACUUUUCUGGUCUGUAACUGACGCUGAUGUGCGAAAGCGUGGGGAUCAAACAGGAUUAGAUACCCCUGGUAGUCCACGCCGUAAACGAUGAGUGCUAAGUG
rnacentral:rRNA from 2 species